rnacentral:rRNA from 1 species
GAUGAACGCUAGCGGCAGGCCUAACACAUGCAAGUCGAGGGAGAAGCCCUUCGGGGCAGAAACCGGCGCACGGGUGCGUAACGCGUAUGCAACCUACCUUUCACAGGGGGAUAGCCCGAAGAAAUUUGGAUUAAUACCCCAUAAUAUUAUUGGAUGGCAUCAUUUGAUAAUUAAAAUUACGAUGGUGAAAGAUGGGCAUGCGUCCUAUUAGCUAGUUGGAGUGGUAACGGCACCCCAAGGCUACGAUAGGUAGGGGUCCUGAGAGGGAGAUCCCCCACACUGGUACUGAGACAGGGACCAGACUCCUACGGGAGGCAGCAGUGAGGAAUAUUGGUCAAUGGUCGGAAGACUGAACCAGCCAUGCCGCGUGCAGGAAGAAUGCCUUAUGGGUUGUAAACUGCUUUUAUAUGGGAAGAAUAAGGAGCACGUGUGCUUGAUGACGGUACC